rnacentral:rRNA from 1 species
GACGAACCGUGCGAACGUUGUUCGGAUUCACUGGGCUUAAAGGGCGCGUAGGCGGCUUGCCAAGUCAGGGGUGAAAUCGUUCGGCUCAACCGGGCAAGUGCUUCUGAUACUGGCGGGCUGGAGGGAGGUAGGGGCAGACGGAACUUCCGGUGGAGCGGUGAAAUGCGUAGAGAUCCGGAAGAACACCAGUGGCGAAGGCGGUCUGCUGGGCAGUUGCUGACACUGAGGCGCGACAGCGUGGGGAGCAAACAGG